GUGCCAAGCAGCCGCGGUAAUUCCAUCACUGAGAGCUAUUUCUUUCGUUGCUGCAAUUAAAACGUCCGUAGCCGUUGGUAGUUCGCGUGUCACUUUGAGAAAAUCGGAGCGUUCAUGGCAGGCUAGCCGCUGUACAGCACAGCAAAGCACGACCUCGCGGCAGCAAUGCCGCAUGGAGUACAUGGCGGCACGUGGUCAAUUGUAUUCCGGGGGGACAGGCGAAAUAGGAUGAUCCCCGGAGGACACCCAGGAGCGAAGGCAGUUGACAAGUGCCGUCCAGUUGGUCAAGGACGAAAGUGUGGGGAUAGACGAUGAUUAGAUACCGUUUUAUUCCACGCCUUAGACGCUACCAUCUACACAGCGGGCGCAGUGCUCGCAGUCCCAAGGAAACCGGAAGGCUUCAGGCUUUGGGGGAAGUAUGGUUGCAAGACUGAAACUUGAAAGCAUUGACGGAAAGGUACCACAAGACGUGGAGUCUGCGGCUCAAUUUGACUCAACACGCAAAAUUUACCAGGCCCAGAGGCUUUAUGGAGCGACAAGAUUGAGAGGUCUUUUGCCGAUUAUUCCGAUAAGGGUGCAUGGCCGCUCCUAAGUUCGGAGGGGUAACUGUCAGGUAUAAAAAAAAAACGAGCGGAGGUCCUUAGGUUGUAUGGGGACCCGGCGAUAGUGUUGAAUUUGGACGAAACCUCCGGCUCCUGGCCGGUCUAGGAGAGCCCCACGCCCCCAACCCGAGAGAAGUGGAGGCCGGUUGCUGGUGGAUUCGAAAAGGG
rnacentral:rRNA from 1 species